UUUGAAGGUUUUAAAUACUUUAUUAUAAAUUUCAAGCAUGACAACAACAUAAAUCAUAAAUCAGCUUAAAAGAUACCGCAUGCAGAAUAAUUUUAUUUCAACACUGCAUGUGACACUUUAUAUCCAUGUCUUUUUUCAGCUUUAGACCCUGCACAUAUAGCUGACCUGAGGGGGUCUGAAAACAGCCACAGGAAAUGUUGAAACUCCAGGUGGUCCACAAGCAAUUAAAUAAAGCAUCACUGUGCUGCUUUUUUUGAGACACACACACACACACACAUACACACACACACAUAUACACUCACUCACACACACACAAAAGAGAAAGAAGCCCUCUAGAAGCAGACUCUGAACUGUUUCUUUCCACACAAAAAAAGCAGCGAGUUUCAUUUGCUGUCAAAACAUUUGUAGUGGAAUUAAACAUAUGGAUGCCACAGGCAAAGUGAGGCCUGGAAUAUAUUAGGGCUGCACAAUGUUACACUAACCCUCCAGUAUCUUACACCGCUCCCAGAGAUUAAUGGAAUAAAGAGGAGAAAAGAGGAGGAGGAGGAGGAGGAGAGAGUGAGUGUGUCUGUCUUGCUCAAGCCAACGCUGCAAAAAUCAAUAUUUCUCCAUGAUACACAGCUCUCAGAGUUGGCUGUAAAUGCAGAUAUCCUGAUCAAAAAGCUAAAUAUUGGCUUCUCUGUGAUGCAAACUGACGCCUGAGUUCAGUAGCCACGUCUGAUUUGAAUUGUAGUAUUUGAUUUGUUUGUGAAUCUCCUUCUAAGGUUUAAAAUUCUCCAAAUAAACACAAAUUGACUUUCACUCCAGGUAGCGUUUUUUUUUAAUUCACAUUCCUGUAAGGUGUAAAUGUCUCGUCUUUCCGCGCCCCUCGCCCCUAGUUGUAACACGUUUGCUCCUAUCAUGUGCUGCGAAAGAAAUUUAAAAAGAAGCCCUGGGAGCGUACAGUAAUUCUGCAUUGAUUUCUCUGUUCUAAUAAAUGAGUGUGUUUCAGCGUAGUAGGGUGAUUGUGUGUGGGGGAGAGAGAGCGAGAGAGAGAAGGAGAGAAAGAGGAAUGUGCAGAUCUGUUCACAAAUGAAUAGUGGGCUUGUUGUAUUAUGCCCUCCGUCAGGAGAGAAUUGAACUAUGCGUCGAGUGUGUCAAAGGGAGCAGAGGAUGAUGGGAGGGGGAACACACAAUAUGAAGUCUCUGCUUUCAGAUCUGAAACUUUUCAAGAGUGGAUUGACUCUUGAGCUGCGAUGCAGUGACCAAAAAUAACGCUGGUUUUAAACAGUUCCCACUUCUCCUCCAGGAGCCGUCCAAAAAAGCCUCAGCAGGAAUUUACAUACUCACCAGGCGGCUGUAGAAAAUGUACAAUUAAAUAUAUUUAAAAGAUUUUUUAUUUUUGCUGUCAAGCAACAUAAAAACUAAAAAUUGAAAAUGUAUUUGCAAUCUUAACUCAAUAUGGUUAAAAAAUAAUUCAUUUUUUGAGGGGGAGGGAGGCUAUAAUAGACUUGAAGGCUGUAAAAAAAAGGGCUUAUAUUUCAAUUUGAGCCUUGAUCUCUAAUUUUAAAAACCAAGUUUAAGUCCAUUGAACAUACACGCAAAUUGGUUACAAUGGUGUGUAUAAUUACUUGAAUUAAUUUUGUUUUUGUGUUAUCCAUAAAACAGAGCUGGAUUAGUGUAAGAGCUGACUCUAAAUACAGUAUUUCUGCUAGUACUACUGGCCCAUAGUCAUUUAUGUUGUACCUUUAGGACCUAACUUCACAUACUUCUGUUUGUAUGUGUAUUGAAGGACGGUCUCUACUUAUUUCAUCUAUUCAUUAUAUGUUAUAAAGUACACCUUAUAUUUUUGGAAUAUUUACAUUACAUAUUGUUUUCAGUUCAUUGAUGCCCUUUGGUGUUUUUUUUAUUUUGCUCAAUAAUUUUGGAGUAGAUAAUUUUUUACGUGGAUAAAUAUGGUUGUUAUUGUAUCUUAUCUUGAACAUGAUGCACCACCAAAAAAAACAAACAAACAAACAAACAAAAAAAACUGCUGGACUCAAGUUGAAAUUUUACAAAAACAAAUAAAUGUCCAAAACCCAAAUUGGCCACACAGAUUACAGUAAUAACACUAAAGAUAUUAAACCUUCCUGACCUGUUUGUCCAAGAUUUUAUAAAAUUUUGCACAUAUACAGAUAUAUAAGUACAGGAAGUUUUUGACUCUCUCUGUGUUAAGAACUUAAAAACUGUUUUUACUGUGAGACUCUAAACUCUGAAUUUCUCCUCAGUGACAUAAAAGCCUUAACUGUAUGCUGUGUAAAUCUUGUAUCAGGCAGUCAUAGUAUAAAUCAGCAGGAUAAAAACUGGCGGUCAGUGUAGCAGCAACACACACUUUGGGUUAUAUCCCCAGCAGCGAUGAAUGUUUCAGUUAUUUUUUAUUUUACUGUGUUUUUUUUCUCUUUUUUUUUAAAGUAAAACGAGCCUUUGUCUUAUAGGUUUUUUAAUUAAUGUGGGUAAAUAUAACCAGUUACAGCAUGAACAAGGAAAGCCCAUUUCAGUAUUUUAAUUAACUAAAAGUCUGGAUGUGGUCAACAUCUUAUGAGUCAUAUCUACAUUAUUUUAGUUCUACUUUACACAAAGUUGUUUAAAUAGCUCCUGAACUCAACUAUUUUAUAAUGAAUCAUGCUACAGUAAGACAAAAUAUACCAUCAUUCAUAUACUUCAUAUGUAUUAUAAUUUUUGGAUGAAUAUUUGCCUUCAUGAAUUUUAUUCAAAUCAUUGACUGCUCAUAUUUCUGUGGUAUUUAAAUCGGUGUGAUAAGGCUUUGAUGGCUCCCUAACUUGUUUGCGGGCCCCCAUGUAACUCUGUCCUCUAAAGCAAACAUUAAUAUGUGAACAUGCCUAAAAGGGCUCAUAAAUAGGUUUAACCUGUUUUUGUUCUCCUGCCCUCAAAGCUGCAGGUAGAGACCCUUCCUCUCCUCUCCUCUCCUCUUUCUCUCCCUCUCCCUGUUUGUAAUUACAGUUUACACUGUUUACUGCUAAACCAUUUUUCUGCAUGUACUAAUUUCACGCUAGACAGCCACAAAAUUAUUCAGCAUUCUCGCAAUAUGUGAAAGACGUGGAUUCGUUUUUAUUUUGCGUUCUGGUAACAAUGUGCUUAUUUAACCCAUGAAGCAGUUUGACCUUAAACACACUCUUUUAGACCCAAA